rnacentral:rRNA from 1 species
AAGAAUCUGCCCUCCACUUUGGGAUAACUCCGGGAAACCGGGGCUAAUACCGAAUAUUGAAACAUAAGUGGCAUCACUGAGUUUUGAAAGAAUUUCGGUGGAGGAUGACUUCGCGGCCUAUCAGCUUGUUGGUGAGGUAAUGGCUCACCAAGGCGACGACGGGUAGCCGGCCUGAGAGGGCGACCGGCCACACUGGGACUGAGACACGGCCCAGACUCCUACGGGAGGCAGCAGUGGGGAAUAUUGGGCAAUGGACGAAAGUCUGACCCAGCGACGCCGCGUGCGGGAUGAAGGCCUUCGGGUUGUAAACCGCUUUCAGCAGGGAAGAAGCGAAAGUG